rnacentral:rRNA from 1 species
AGAUGGCUUUAGCUAUCACUCUGGGAUGGACCUGCGGUGCAUUAGCUAGUUGGUAAGGUAACGGCUUACCAAGGCGAUGAUGCAUAGCCGAGUUGAGAGACUGAUCGGCCACAAUGGAACUGAGACACGGUCCAUACUCCUACGGGAGGCAGCAGUAGGGAAUCUUCCACAAUGGGCGCAAGCCUGAUGGAGCAACACCGCGUGAGUGAAGAAAGGUUUCGGCUCGUAAAGCUCUGUUGUUGGAGAAGAACGUGCGUGAGAGUAACUGUUCACGCAGUGACGGUAUCCAACCAGAAAGUCACGGCUAACUACGUGCCAGCAGCCGCGGUAAUACGUAGGUGGCAAGCGUUAUCCGGAUUUAUUGGGCGUAAAGCGAGCGCAGGCGGUUGCUUAGGUCUGAUGUGAAAGCCUUCGGCUUAACCGAAGAAGUGCAUCGGAAACCGGGCGACUUGAGUGCAGAAGAGGACAGUGGAACUCCAUGUGUAGCGGUGGAAUGCGUAGAUAUAUGGAAGGACACCAGUGGCGAAGGCGGCUGUCUGGUCUGCAACUGACGCUGAGGCUCGAAAGCAUGGGUAGCGAACAGGAUUAGAUACCCUGGUAGUCCAUGCCGUAAACGAUGAGUGCUAGGUGUUGGAGGGUUUCCGCCCUUCA